rnacentral:rRNA from 1 species
UGGGGAAUAUUGCACAAUGGAGGGAACUCUGAUGCAGCGACGCCGCGUGAACGAAGAAGGCUUUCGAGUCGUAAAGUUCGUUUAUAUGGGAAGAUAAUGACGGUACCAUAAGAAAAAGCCCCGGCUAACUACGUGCCAGCAGCCGCGGUAAUACGUAGGGGGCUAGCGUGGUCCGGAAUCACUGGGCGUACAGGGUUCGCAGGCGGAAAUGCAAGUCAGGUGUAAAAGGCAGUAGCUUAACUACUGUAAGCAUUUGAAACUGCAUAUCUUGAGUAGAGUAGAGGUAAGUGGAAUUUUUAGUGUAGCGGUGAAAUGCGUAGAUAUUAAAAAGAAUACCGGUGGCGAAGGCGGCUUACUGGGCUCAUUCUGACGCUGAGGAACGAAAGCGUGGGUAGCAAACAGG